AAAUUGAAGAGUUUGAUCAUGGCUCAGAUUGAACGCUGGCGGCAGGCCUAACACAUGCAAGUCGAACGGUAACAGGAAGCAGCUUGCUGCUUUGCUGACGAGUGGCGGACGGGUGAGUAAUGUCUGGGAAACUGCCUGAUGGAGGGGGAUAACUACUGGAAACGGUGGCUAAUACCGCAUAACGUCGCAAGACCAAAGAGGGGGACCUUCGGGCCUCUUGCCAUCAGAUGUGCCCAGAUGGGAUUAGCUUGUUGGUGAGGUAACGGCUCACCAAGGCGACGAUCCCUAGCUGGUCUGAGAGGAUGACCAGCCACACUGGAACUGAGACACGGUCCAGACUCCUACGGGAGGCAGCAGUGGGGAAUAUUGCACAAUGGGCGCAAGCCUGAUGCAGCCAUGCCGCGUGUAUGAAGAAGGCCUUCGGGUUGUAAAGUACUUUCAGCGGGGAGGAAGGGAGUAAGGUUAAUAACCUUAUUCAUUGACGUUACCCGCAGAAGAAGCACCGGCUAACUCCGUGCCAGCAGCCGCGGUAAUACGGAGGGUGCAAGCGUUAAUCGGAAUUACUGGGCGUAAAGCGCACGCAGGCGGUCUGUCAAGUCGGAUGUGAAAUCCCCGGGCUCAACCUGGGAACUGCAUUCGAAACUGGCAGGCUUGAGUCUUGUAGAGGGGGGUAGAAUUCCAGGUGUAGCGGUGAAAUGCGUAGAGAUCUGGAGGAAUACCGGUGGCGAAGGCGGCCCCCUGGACAAAGACUGACGCUCAGGUGCGAAAGCGUGGGGAGCAAACAGGAUUAGAUACCCUGGUAGUCCACGCCGUAAACGAUGUCUACUUGGAGGUUGUGCCCUUGAGGCGUGGCUUCCGGAGCUAACGCGUUAAGUAGACCGCCUGGGGAGUACGGCCGCAAGGUUAAAACUCAAAUGAAUUGACGGGGGCCCGCACAAGCGGUGGAGCAUGUGGUUUAAUUCGAUGCAACGCGAAGAACCUUACCUGGUCUUGACAUCCACAGAACUUUCCAGAGAUGGAUUGGUGCCUUCGGGAACUGUG
rnacentral:rRNA from 1 species